rnacentral:rRNA from 1 species
UACGAAGGGGGCUAGCGUUGUUCGGAUUUACUGGGCGUAAAGCGCACGUAGGCGGAUUGUUAAGUCAGGGGUGAAAUCCCGGAGCUCAACUCCGGAACUGCCUUUGAUACUGGCAAUCUUGAGACUGGAAGAGGUUAGUGGAAUUCCCAGUGUAGAGGUGAAAUUCGUAGAUAUUGGGAGGAACACCAGUGGCGAAGGCGACUACCUGGCCUGUUCUUGACGCUGAGGCGCGAAAGCUAGGGGAGCAAACGGG